rnacentral:rRNA from 1 species
GGGUUGUGAGGUUAAGUGACUAAGCGUACACGGUGGAUGCCCUGGCAGUCAGAGGCGAUGAAGGACGUGCUAAUCUGCGAAAAGCGUCGGUAAGGUGAUAUGAACCGUUAUAACCGGCGAUGUCCGAAUGGGGAAACCCAGUGCAAUUCGUUGCACUAUCGUUAACUGAAUACAUAGGUUAACGAGGCGAACCGGGGGAACUGAAACAUCUAAGUACCCCGAGGAAAAGAAAUCAACCGAGAUUCCCCCAGUAGCGGCGAGCGAACGGGGAGCAGCCCAGAGUCUGAAUCAGCUUGUGUGUUAGUGGAACGGUCUGGAAAGUCCGACGGUACAGGGUGAUAGUCCCGUACACCAAAAUGCACAGGCUGUGAACUCGAAGAGUAGGGCGGGACACGUGGUAUCCUGUCUGAAUAUGGGGGGACCAUCCUCCAAGGCUAAAUACUCCUGACUGACCGAUAGUGAACCAGUACCGUGAGGGAAAGGCGAAAAGAACCCCGGCGAGGGGAGUGAAAAAGAACCUGAAACCGUGUACGUACAAGCAGUGGGAGCACCUUUAUGGUGUGACUGCGUACCUUUUGUAUAAUGGGUCAGCGACUUAUAUUCUGUAGCAAGGUUAACCGUAUAGGGGAGCCGCAGGGAAACCGAGUCUUAACUGGGCGUUAAGUUGCAGGGUAUAGACCCGAAACCCGGUGAUCUAGCCAUGGGCAGGUUGAAGGUUGGGUAACACUAACUGGAGGACCGAACCGACUAAUGUUGAAAAAUUAGCGGAUGACUUGUGGCUGGGGGUGAAAGGCCAAUCAAACCGGGAGAUAGCUGGUUCUCCCCGAAAGCUAUUUAGGUAGCGCCUCGUGAACUCAUCUUCGGGGGUAGAGCACUGUUUCGGCUAGGGGGUCAUCCCGACUUACCAACCCGAUGCAAACUACGAAUACCGAAGAAUGUUAUCACGGGAGACACACGGCGGGUGCUAACGUCCGUCGUGAAGAGGGAAACAACCCAGACCGCCAGCUAAGGUCCCAAAGUCAUGGUUAAGUGGGAAACGAUGUGGGAAGGCACAGACAGCCAGGAUGUUGGCUUAGAAGCAGCCAUCAUUUAAAGAAAGCGUAAUAGCUCACUGGUCGAGUCGGCCUGCGCGGAAGAUGUAACGGGGCUAAACCAUGCACCGAAGCUGCGGCAGCGACACUAUGUGUUGUUGGGUAGGGGAGCGUUCUGUAAGCCUGCGAAGGUGUGCUGUGAGGCAUGCUGGAGGUAUCAGAAGUGCGAAUGCUGACAUAAGUAACGAUAAAGCGGGUGAAAAGCCCGCUCGCCGGAAGACCAAGGGUUCCUGUCCAACGUUAAUCGGGGCAGGGUGAGUCGACCCCUAAGGCGAGGCCGAAAGGCGUAGUCGAUGGGAAACAGGUUAAUAUUCCUGUACUUGGUGUUACUGCGAAGGGGGGACGGAGAAGGCUAUGUUAGCCGGGCGACGGUUGUCCCGGUUUAAGCAUGUAGGCUGGUUGUCCAGGCAAAUCCGGAUAAUCAAGGCUGAGGUGUGAUGACGAGGCACUACGGUGCUGAAGUAACAAAUGCCCUGCUUCCAGGAAAAGCCUCUAAGCAUCAGGUAACAUCAAAUCGUACCCCAAACCGACACAGGUGGUCAGGUAGAGAAUACCAAGGCGCUUGAGAGAACUCGGGUGAAGGAACUAGGCAAAAUGGUGCCGUAACUUCGGGAGAAGGCACGCUGGUGUGUAGGUGAAGUCCCUGCGGAUGGAGCUGAGACCAGUCGAAGAUACCAGCUGGCUGCAACUGUUUAUUAAAAACACAGCACUGUGCAAACACGAAAGUGGACGUAUACGGUGUGACGCCUGCCCGGUGCCGGAAGGUUAAUUGAUGGGGUUAUCCGUAAGGAGAAGCUCUUGAUCGAAGCCCCGGUAAACGGCGGCCGUAACUAUAACGGUCCUAAGGUAGCGAAAUUCCUUGUCGGGUAAGUUCCGACCUGCACGAAUGGCGUAAUGAUGGCCAGGCUGUCUCCACCCGAGACUCAGUGAAAUUGAACUCGCUGUGAAGAUGCAGUGUACCCGCGGCAAGACGGAAAGACCCCGUGAACCUUUACUAUAGCUUGACACUGAACAUUGAGCCUUGAUGUGUAGGAUAGGUGGGAGGCUUUGAAGCGUGGACGCCAGUCUGCGUGGAGCCAACCUUGAAAUACCACCCUUUAAUGUUUGAUGUUCUAACGUUGGCCCCUUACCGGGGUUGCGGACAGUGUCUGGUGGGUAGUUUGACUGGGGCGGUCUCCUCCCAAAGCGUAACGGAGGAGCACGAAGGUUAGCUAAUCCUGGUCGGACAUCAGGAGGUUAGUGCAAUGGCAUAAGCUAGCUUGACUGCGAGCGUGACGGCGCGAGCAGGUGCGAAAGCAGGUCAUAGUGAUCCGGUGGUUCUGAAUGGAAGGGCCAUCGCUCAACGGAUAAAAGGUACUCCGGGGAUAACAGGCUGAUACCGCCCAAGAGUUCAUAUCGACGGCGGUGUUUGGCACCUCGAUGUCGGCUCAUCACAUCCUGGGGCUGAAGUAGGUCCCAAGGGUAUGGCUGUUCGCCAUUUAAAGUGGUACGCGAGCUGGGUUUAGAACGUCGUGAGACAGUUCGGUCCCUAUCUGCCGUGGGCGCUGGAGAAUUGAGGGGGGCUGCUCCUAGUACGAGAGGACCGGAGUGGACGCAUCACUGGUGUUCGGGUUGUCAUGCCAAUGGCACUGCCCGGUAGCUAAAUGCGGAAGAGAUAAGUGCUGAAAGCAUCUAAGCACGAAACUUGCCCCGAGAUGAGUUCUCCCUGAGACUUUAAGUCUCCUGAAGGAACGUUAAAGACGAUGACGUUGAUAGGCCGGGUGUGUAAGCGCAGCGAUGCGUUGAGCUAACCGGUACUAAUGAACCGUGAGGCUUAACCUUACAACGCCGAAG